rnacentral:rRNA from 1 species
AGCGGCGGACGGGUGAGUAAGGAGGGGGUAACCUGCCCUGUACACACGGAUAACAUACCGAAAGGUAUGCUAAUACGAGAUAAUAUGCUUUUAUCGCAUGGUAGAAGUAUCAAAGCUUUUGCGGUACAAGAUGGACCCGCGUCUGAAUAGCCAGUUGGUAAGGUAACGGCUUACCAAGGCGACGAUCAGUAGCCGACCUGAGAGGGUGAUCGGCCACAUUGGAACUGAGACACGGUCCAAACUCCUACGGGAGGCAGCAGUGGGGAAUAUUGCACAAUGGGCGAAAGCCUGAUGCAGCAACGCCGCGUGAGCGAUGAAGGCCUUCGGGUCGUAAAGCUCUGUCCUCAAGGAAGAUAAUGACGGUACUUGAGGAGGAAGCCCCGGCUAACUACGUGCCAGCAGCCGCGGUAAUACGUAGGGGGCUAGCGUUAUCCGGAAUUACUGGGCGUAAAGGGUGCGUAGGUGGUUUCUUAAGUCAGAGGUGAAAGGCUACGGCUCAACCGUAGUAAGCCUUUGAAACUGGGAAACUUGAGUGCAGGAGAGGAGAGUGGAAUUCCUAGUGUAGCGGUGAAAUGCGUAGAUAUUAGGAGGAACACCAGUUGCGAAGGCGGCUCUCUGGACUGUAACUGACACUGAGGCACGAAAGCGUGGGGAGCAAACAGGAUUAGAUACCCUGGUAGUCCACGCCGUAAACGAUGAGUACUAGCUGU